rnacentral:rRNA from 1 species
GACGAACGCUGGCGGCGUGCUUAACACAUGCAAGUCGAACGGAAAGGCCCUGCUUGCAGGGUGCUCGAGUGGCGAACGGGUGAGUAACACGUGGGUGAUCUGCCCCUUAUUUUGGGAUAAGCCUGGGAAACUGGGUCUAAUACUGGAUAGGACCAUGCUGUAGGUGGUGUGGUGGAAAGAUUAGUUUCGGUAAGGGAUGAGCUCGCGGCCUAUCAGCUUGUUGGUGGGGUAAUGGCCUACCAAGGCGUCGACGGGUAGCCGGCCUGAGAGGGUGGACGGCCACAUUGGGACUGAGAUACGGCCCAGACUCCUACGGGAGGCAGCAGUGGGGAAUAUUGCACAAUGGGCGCAAGCCUGAUGCAGCGACGCCGCGUGGGGGAUGACGGCCUUCGGGUUGUAAACUCCUUUCAGCCAUGACGAAGCCCUUGUGGUGACGAUAGUGGUAGAAGAAGCACCGGCUAACUACGUG